rnacentral:rRNA from 1 species
AUGCGACAAGAUGUCAUUCAGGAAUUGGUGGCGCUUUAUCAAAGAGUAUGGCCUUAUCUACCGAUCGAGCCCUACUUGGUCGAUAAAGCGCUUCAUUCCUAUCUGGACCAUAUUCACGCAACUGAUUCUUUCACUGUUCUCCAAGCGUCUUAUCAAGAUCUGCGGGAGAAUGAGGGAGGAUCCGUUUUUUUCGUAGUUGUUUCCCACAACCGAGAUCUCCUUGAGGCGGAAAGCUACGCAAGGAGGUGCCUGGAAGUGGAACAGAGGAUCCGGUGGGAAGAAAUCCCCAAGAGCAAGGCAAGUCUCAAAAGAGGUGAGCACGAGCAUGCUCUCGACUUGUUUAAGUCGUAGGAUCUUAGAAGGGAAUUAGAAAAAAAGAGUGGGGUAGCUCAGUAA